UCCGUAGGCGGCUUUUUAAGUCAGUGGUAAAAUCCCAGAGCUUAACUCUGGAACUGCCAUUGAAACUGAAGAGCUUGAAUAUGGUUGAGGUAGGCGGAAUACGUUAUGUAGCGGUGAAAUGCAUAGAUAUAACGUAGAACACCAAUUGCGAAGGCAGCUUACUAAACCAUUAUUGACGCUGAUGGACGAAAGCGUGGGGAGCGAACAGGAUUAGAUACCCUGGUAGUCC
rnacentral:rRNA from 1 species